rnacentral:sRNA from 1 species
GAAGGGUGAAAAGCGUCCUUCGACGUCCGGGUCCGGCUUGCGGGGCCAGCGAACUGGAGAGGUGCCAUGGGCUGGAGUAAGCACCCCUCCACCUUCCGUCCUCGAUUGUUCCCCUUGUGGAAGUCGUCCCGGGUCUCGUGGGAUACUUGCCGCCCGCUCCCGCCCUGCGCUGCCGGUUCCCCAGCGCCUGGGCGAACCCCAACCCCACCCGGCCCUCCGCCCCGCAGCCCCGGUUGCACCAGGAUGUGAAGAGCUGGCAAAACUUGACUUGACUGUAAAUUUCAUUGGAGAGCUGAGCAGCAUUAAAACCUUGCAGCACAAUAUCCAUCUGAAGGAGCUCUUUCUCAUGGGGAACCCAUGUGCUUCCUUUGACCACUAUAGGGAGUUCGUUGUAGCAACUCUUCCACAAUUAAAGUUCGUCUUUAGAGAGCAAAGACCACCUACAGGCACCAGACAUAGAGGAAAACAACACAAAGAAAUUAGACAACAGUGAAGAUGACUUGGAAUUCUGGAAUAAGCCCUGUUUGUUUACUCCUGAAUCAAGACUGGAAACUCUUA